AUACCCGCUGAACUUAAGCAUAUCAAUAAGCGGAGGAAAAGAAACCAACAGGGAUUGCCUCAGUAACGGCGAGUGAAGCGGCAUCAGCUCAAAUUUGAAAUCUGGCGUCUUCGGCGUCCGAGUUGUAAUUUGUAGAGAGUGUCUCGGGUGAGCACCGGUCCAAGUUCCUUGGAACAGGAUAUCAGAGAGGGUGAGAAUCCCGUAUCUGGCCGGCCCCCUCCCCCGCUGUGAGACCUCUUCGACGAGUCGAGUUGUUUGGGAAUGCAGCUCUAAAUUGGAGGUAAAUUCCUUCUAAAGCUAAAUACUGGCCAGAGACCGAUAGCGCACAAGUAGAGUGAUCGAAAGAUGAAAAGCACUUUGAAAAGAGAGUCAAACAGUACGUGAAAUUGUUGAAAGGGAAGCGUAUGCGGCCAGACUUGUCCCCAGUUGCUCAGCCCGUCUUUUGGCGGGUGUACUCUUCUGGGGCCAGGCCAGCAUCGGUUUGGGCGGUCGGAUAAAGACGUCGGGAAUGUGGCCCCCCUCGGGGGGUGUUAUAGCCCGGCGUGCAAUGCGUCCAGCCCGGACCGAGGCCCGCGUUCUGCUAGGAUGCUGGCGUAAUGGCCGUAUACGGCCCGUCUUG
rnacentral:rRNA from 1 species